AGCGAGCCCCCAGAGCGUCUUCCGGCGGGAGCGGUCCCGCUCCUUAUCAUGGGGACAAUUCAUCUCUUUCGAAAACCACAAAGAUCCUUUUUUGGAAAGUUAUUACAGGAAUUUAGACUUGUAGCAGCUGACCGAAGGUCCUGGAAGAUACUGCUGUUUGUUGCAAUAAACUUGAUAUGCACUGGCUUCCUGCUUAUGUGGUGCAGUUCUACUAAUAGUAUAGCUUUAACUGCCUAUACUUACCUGACUAUUUUUGACCUUUUUAGGUAAGUUUUAAAAAACCUCCUUAACAUUUUAGAACCAAUAAGAAUUUGUUGCACUGGAUUUGUGAAGAAGUUUUCUUUACCUUAAGGAAAGUAAUUUGUGGACUGGAGGUGUGGCUCAAGCAGUAAAGCACCUGCUUUGCAAGCACGCAGCCUUAAGUUCAUUCCCACCAAAAAAAAAGGACGCAUCCCAGGCUAGCCUGGGAGUAUCUAAUGAUGGGAUUUCAGUGGCCAUAAAAGUUUCUGAGGGAAUUGGCCCUCCUAUUUAGAUUUCCAAGCUAGGUCCUCCAGAAUCUAAUGGAAAGUAA